GUGCCAGCAGCCGCGGUAAUACGGAGGGGGCGAGCGUUGUCCGAAGUUACUGGGCGUAAAGCGCGCGUAGGCGGGAGGCCAAGUCCGCUGUGAAAGCCCGGGGCUCAACCCCGGCGGGUCGGUGGAGACUGGUCUUCUUGAAGAUGCUAGGGGGAGGUGGAAUUAUCGGUGUAGCGGUGAAAUGCGUAGAGAUCGAUAGGAACACCAGUGGCGAAGGCGGCCUCCUGGGGCACUCUUGACGCUGAGGCGCGAAAGCUGGGGGAGCGAACGGGAUUAGAUACCCCGGUAGUCC
rnacentral:rRNA from 1 species